CCCAGCAGAGCUUGGCUGUUCCUUGAACUUUCAGUGUUGGUUCGAUUUCCUCCAGUGGUACCACAUGCUGCUGUGCAAACAGAACACGUGGUCGGGCCAAACAAAGGAACAUGUGUGCUGCAAACCAUCCCCCCUAUCACGGGAGCUCGAGCUCGGCCAGGAGAGGGCCCGGCCGGCGCGCGAUUUUAUUUAUUUAUUUGACAGAGAGAGAGCGAGCGACAUCACAAGUAGGCAGAGCAUCAGGCAGAGAGAGAGAGGGAAGCAGGCUCCCUGCUGAGCAGAAAGCCCAAUGCGGGACUCCAUCCCAGGACCCCGAGUUCAUGACCUGAGCUGAAGGCAGAGGCUUUUUAACCCACUGAGCCACCCAGGUGCUCCAGGCCUUUUAUGUUCUCACUGGAGAAGUCACAAAAUGGAAGUUGAUUCUUUCCAGGACUUUUCUUGACUCUAAGCCUCUCUGGUGUUCAGGAAAAAAAAAAGAUGAGCGCAAUGAGUCAGCAACACCAAAGAACAACAAUGCUACCCCAGGUCUGCGGCCAUAGUUGCACUUGUAGAGUAAGCUUCCUUCUGGAUUUUUCCCAUGGACGAAUUGCCUUCAUUUUGAACACUGCUCAGGUAGCUGCUGAUUUCCUGGUACCAAUGUCACUGUUUUACACAUAAUGGUGAACAGACUGAAGAGAUCAAAUUAAAUCCAUUUCCACUUUAGGGUAGGAAAUUUGUUUGGAACAAUCAAGAGGGUUUGGAGCAGUAAGCAUGGGUUUUCAAUUGCCAUCAAAUGGCAAAUUGCUUAAUGUCAAUUGGCAUUAAGUGGACUGAUUUGUACCCAAUUAAUAUGCGGUGGUUGGAAAGGAAGAAAACAAUUUCAUUUAGCUAGAUUGUUCCUCCCUGGGUUCAUCUCGCAUGGACUCCAAGCGGUUUGCAGACAUUCUCUUUUAUUCUAUAAAUCCCCUACCCCUGUGAGCCACAUCCUCCCUUGUUGGGAAGCGUGUGGCCUUGGAAAACUCACUUGGAGUAUUUCCAUGCUCCGCAGCCCCAUUUAGGGAAUGGCUACUACAGGCCUCCGCCCAUCCCCGCUCGAGGCAACACAACGUCAGUGAUGUAAAAGAGUUCAUGCGGCUUGCAGAAGCAUUUCAUUUCCAACCAGAGCUCGCUUUGGGCCCUGGAGAAAGCAGGUCUACUGGCCAUGAGGCUGAAUUAUGGGGCCAAGCCACUCCUAGCAUUUGCUUGAAAGACUCCCGCUGGAGAAUCCAAGGGAUCAAAUUAGUGCUAGCGGUGACAAGUCAGAUGCACGAAGACCCAGAUUCUCGGCAAGAUCUGAACGCCCCCCACCCCGGCUUUGACAAACAGCCCCAGAGGAAGCCCAGGGCACCCAGUCACUGCCCGCUAAAAUGCGGGCACACAGAAGCUUAGCCACAUCCAUGUUCCAGAGACUCCCCAAAUGGGAGAAAAACCCUGUGAGCCCACCCUGGCCGACUGGAGCAGGAUGAAUGAUAGCCGUCUCAUUUUCACAUCCAUAGAUUUUAUGCUCCCUUUGGUCAGUAAUUUACAUUUAUAUAGACUCUUUCAAACUCUGGGUUCUAAAAUGGCUUUGCUGGUUUAUAUGUUAGGGCACCGCUUUGUAUCAGCAGUUGGCUCUGUGUGUAUAAACAGAACCUGACCAUCUGUAUUUAAACAAAAGCAUGUGGCUCAGUUUUAACUUGGUCAUUUUAAGCCAUACCAUACUUGGAUGAAUUCCUCCGAGUGGGUUUUUUUUUGUUGUUGUUGUUUUUUGUUUUUUUUUUUUUUGUAAGGGCACAUAAAUGUGUAUGGUGCUUCUGGAGGAACCCUUUAGUCGGACUCUGUUUUGAUGCCAGGUGGUUCUGUAGCUCUCCUUCCUCCAUGAUUUAUGUCUGAACAUGAAAAGAUGCAAUAUGACUGAGAAAAAUACGAGCGAUGACUUUCUCUUUCAGACUGAACCCAAAAGGCGUGCUCCGCUCUUUUCCAUGAGUUUGUCCAAAGCAACACCUGAAGAGAGAAAUAGUGUCCAUGAAAAUCACUUAAGCCACUUGCCAGUCUCCAGCCAGAAGGGUGCUUAUGCCUGCUGUUAUUAUGGAGAGUGGCAGCUUCCGAAGAUUUCUGGAAGAUUUCUGCAUCUAGAGUCAGAAGGCUUAGGUCGGAGCCAGAUCAGUACAAGCUAGGAGCAGAGAGACCUUAGUUUCCAAAUUUAAGUGCAGAUAUACUGAUUCUGUUUGCUCAAGAUGGUUGUUGAGGAGGGACGGACAUCUGCCUGGGGCAUCAGUCACCAGUGACCACCGAGAGUUGAUUCAGCUGUUUGGUUGACUAGACAGAGGUCUCUACCACUUCCUGGUUUAGUUGGAGAGAAUGGCUUUUCCAGGUAGAGGAGGACUGUUCUUGGGUCACCGUUAUGUGGACAGAACUGUUGCAAGGACUAAACAUGAUAAUGUAUACAAAAGAGAUUUCUUACUACAGAGAGCCAUAUGAAUUCAUACAAAUCCUUGUGCAGGAAUGUGCUGGGCUCUGUUUUUCCUGGAGUGUAAUACCCAAGACUGCCAGUGGGUCUAGCUACUGAACCCAAGAUGUUGUAGACUCAGUGACUUAGACUGACCUGAGCCAAAAUCAAGAGUCAGGCACUUAACCUACUGAGCCACCCGGGAGCCCCUAUUCCUUAUUUAAAAAAAAAACAAAACAAAACUGUAUCCUUGCACCAAGUCGCAUAGCAUCCAGCCCUAGUAGUAUUAAACCUAUUAGAUUUAAUAAAAUGUAGUUGAGUAAAAUUUCAAACUGAACAAAAGAGCAAAAUUUCACCUGGGGAUGAUUGCUACCUCCUGCCAACUUUUCAGCCUCGGUUAAAGAGGCCACAAUGAAAAGCAGAUGAAGCAUGUUAUGGUGUGAAGCAGUCCAAGGUCAAUGGAGAAGCACUUCUCAGCAAAGAAUAUAUGUUCACAGCAUCACUUGAUACAGAUUUAGAAGUAAUGGAAACUAUCUCAGAUUGCCAUGGGGUACCCCACCACCCUGAAAUUUAGGGAGCUGGAGAUUGAUUUAUACUUUUCUGUUCAUUGUUAUUACCUACCUUCCCCCCUUUCCUCCCUCCUCCUUAGCCAGACAUGUGCUCACAAUGUGAUUCUUUAGUUGGCUUUGGGUUCUCAACCUUUCAUAUCUCAGGGUUUUUUGCAGGGUCUCUGACAAACCUAGAGGGCAUUGUCUUCAUGCACCAGACCAAAUGGUGCCUGCAGACCCAAGAAGGAAGAGCUAGGGAGGUGUUAGGUGGUUUUAGUCAUUCUAGCCUGUACAGGACUGCUGAGUUGGGGCACUCCAGGGAGCCCGCAUCUUCUGUGAUUUUAGUGGGUAGACGGAGGAGCAGUUUCCAGAGGUUCUAAAUCAUGGGCUCAUCCUCUGGGAGUGACAAGCGGCCUUUGGAGCACUCUUCCCCUUGGAAGGCGGUGACCUUUCUCCAGGUUGUUCUUCGGCUACAGCAGAAUGUGUCUGUUCUGCUCUCCCUCACAGUGAAAUGCCUAGAAAUAGGAACUGAUAGGAGGUGUUCCAAUUCCACAUGCCCCACUUUCUCUUGAACACACCACAUGCAGGAUUUCACCCGCAUUACUUGACAGAAAAUUGUUCUUGUCAAGGUCACCAUGACCUGCCAGUUGCUAAAUGCAUGGUCAGUGUGCAUCCCCACACCACUUGAUCUAUUAGCAAUGUGUGACCGAGGUGACCGUCUGUCCUCUUUGAGAUGUUUUCUUCUCUUGGUUCUGAGGAUACCCGACUCCCCUGGCUCCCCUCCUCUCUGGUCCCAAGGCAGUUCCUUCUAGUGGUUUUGUUGGCCCAGCCUUAUCUCCAGCCCACUCCAGGGCUCCCCUUUCUGCUCCCUCCCUUCCUCCUCUUUUAUGCCCUACUCUGUUGGCAUUAAAUAUGGUUAUAGAUCGAAUUGAUUCCCCCCAAAAUUUCUACAUUGAGCUGCGAACCCCCAAUGAGAACGUACUUGGAGAUGAGACUUUUGGAAAGUGAUUAGGUUACAAGGAGGUCAUGAGGGUGAGAUUCUCUUGAUGGAAUUAGUACCUUCCCAAGAACAGACACCAGAGAGCUGGUUUCUUCUCUCUCCCUCUGCCAUGUGGGGACAGAGAAAUAAGAUGAUUGUCUCCAAGCUGAGAAGAGAGCCCUCACCAGGGAACUAAGUUGGCCGGCACCUUGAUCUUGGACUUCCCAGCCUCCAGAACUGUGUGGAAUAAAUUCCUGUUGUUUAAGCCACCAGUCUGUGGUAUUUUAUCGUGGCAGCCCAAACAGACUAAUAGAAAUACUGAUUGCUGGCAACCCAUGCAUUUCUGUAUCCAACCUGCAUAUCUUUCCAGAAUGCCAAUCUCAGAUGCCUAAUUGCCCAGUCAGCAUCCCCGCUUGGAUGGUUAAUCAGUAUCCCAAAUUAACAUACCUCAAGAGGAGCUCCUUCACUCCAAAACCUACUACUACAAUCUACUCUAUCUCAGUAAGUGGCAACUCUAUUCUUCUGGUCGAUCAGGUGAAGAACCCUGGAGUUCUUUCUGUCAGAAUUCAUAUCCAAUCCUUCCCUCUAGCUCUGCCUUCAGAUAUAUAUCCCAGACUCAAAGACGUCUUCCUACCCUCACCACUUGCUGCCAUAGUUCAAGCCACCAGCAUCCUGGAUUAUGGUAGUGCCUCCUAAUGGGCUUAGCGCCUGCAGACUUGCCCACCACUCCUGCCUUCUCCCGCCUGUUUUCAGCACAGCAGCUAGCCCACAUGGCGCUUUAGCUGCCCAUCCUCCAAAAGCAUCCAUCUUAGUGUAACAUCCAAACCUUACUGCCGUCUAAGUUCAGCACUGCUGUUGCUCUGAGUUCAUCUCUUGCCACUUGUCCCACACAACCUUAUCCCUCUUCCGUCCUAUCCUGCUACAUGGUGUUCCUUGUUAUUCUCUUCCUCAAACCCCAGGAUUCUCCUGCUUCAGAACCUUUGCACAUGCUGUUCCUUUUGCCUGGGAUACUGACCCUUCAUAUAUUUGCAUGGCACACUUACCAUGUUCAUCAAGCCAACCAGUCAUUUCCUCUAAGUGGUCUUCCCUGACCACCUAUCCUACCUAACAUCCUACCCCCCCCACCAUGCUCCUUUAUUUCCUCUACAUCACCGAAUCAUGUUUGUUUUCUGUUUACUUUCUUAUCCUGUUCCUCCUAGAGAAUGUAAACUCCCUGAGUUUAAGAAGCCUUGUUUCACUGCUGCAACUCUAACACCUUAACAGCUUCUGGCCCCUAGUUGGUGCGUAGUAAUAUCUGUGGAGAGAAUGAAUGAAUCCAUGUCUCAACAACCAAGAGCCAACAUGUUUGUCAACAAUUUCUUGGAAGAUUUUAGGUUAUUGGUGCUUCUUUAUUAAAGAAGCAUCAUUUGAGCUUCAAAAUGAGAUUGUGCAUGUCACUGUUUCUUUCCAAUGUAAAAUAUAAUUUGUUGUUGUUGUUGAAAAUGGGAGAUUUAAAUUUGGUGAAGAUUUUUGUCUCUAGCAUUCUGCGAAUGGAUUAAAUGGGCCAAGGUGUCCUUUGAUUAUGUUUAGUUAAAUUCAACAGGCACUGAUUGCUCCCCACCACAUUCCAGAUUCUGUGGGAGACAGAAAUGCAGUUUGCUUAGAUAGGAACCUGCCCUCAAGAUGCUCACAGCCAUCUAGAGAUACGGAACACAGACUACCAUUCACUUCAAAAUUUAAAAAUUUUGAUAAACAGUACCAGGUUUGGGGGGGCACCUGGGUGGCCCAUUUGGUGAAGCAUCAGACUUCCACUCAGGUCAUGGUCUCAUGGAUCCAACCCCCAGUCAUCUCCCCGCUCAGCAGGGAGUCUGAUUCUCCCUCUGCCCUUUCCCCUGCUCAUGCUCUCUCUCUCUCUCAAAUAAAUAAAUAAAUGAGUCAAAUAGUAUCAUGUUUCUAUUCCCAUCAGGAGGCUGAUGUCCAAUGAGAACAUUAAUGUCCGCAGGCAGAUUACAUGUCAAACUUCCUCUAAAGGGAAGUGCCGGGGCCAGAUAAAUUCAUGUGGUCCAAAGAGCACAGCAUCGAUAGAUAAAUGUCAUAAGGGAGCUGAAAACGAAGGGCUGUGGGUGAUCUGAAAAGGAAAUAGUCACAUCUCUUGGGGGAUAUUAUGGAUGGCUUCAUGCGACCAUGGCUGAGCUUGGCAGGUAGGGAAGUGGGGCAGUGAGAGCCAGGGGGAAAGGGCACCUGAGCACAGGUGUGCAAUGGUAGAUUCUGGGACUUUUUCUAGAAGUGGUGAUGGCCAAAUGUGGCUAAAGCAUGGAGCAGGAAUGGGGGAGAAGUCGGCAUUUGCAAUGGAGGACAACCGAAAUCAUGGUUAGUAAAAAUAUCUUUUCCAAAAGUGACAGGAUUGGGAAACAGAAGCUUUGUUUUUGUGACAAUAACUAAAAUGAUACUUUGAAUCUGAUCAUUCUCACUUGCUAUGUAACGUUUGUGCAAUAAAGUUCUGGACUCCUCAAAGAA